ACACAAUCACCUUAAGCCAAAAGCUAAUACCACUUAGAUCAUCUCUAGCCAUAACCAGAGUCUCAAUGGCAACUCCAAACCCAAUCGAUUAGCUUCCGCCGCGUCAUAGGUUCACGUCGCACUCAGGCACCUAUAACCUUAGGGUUAACCAACCUAGAGUCUCCUAGGUCAUCCUAGACUCUCUCUUUUGCUUGCUCUUAACUCGCUCUGAUACCACAACUGUCACGCCCCCGACCGCACUCCCCGAAGACGGUAUCGAUUUGGUCCGGUUCGAGGGCGGCGGGCGUGAGGCCGAACGGACAGAGUCUCCCUUGUCCGCCCUAGGCUAAUCAACAAGAUUGUGCACAACAAGUGUCACCCCCCGCGGCCAACCGCCGAUUUGGACCGGGUCGCGGCGCCACCGACAGACCGCCGAACGGACCGGGAAUUCCCCUGUACGCGAACAGAGUCUCCCCAGUACGUCCAAGGCGUCGCAAUCCAAACAAUCAACGAAUGUUCCAACAAGGAACGGAUAUCAAUCCAGAUUGCAUAAGGAAGUAUCAAAUACAUAAACUACUUGCUAUUACAAGCAUUCAUUUCACAAUCACGUUAUACAUCACAGUUUCAGUUUACAUUCUUUUUUUACUUCCAAAUUACAAUCCAAUUAUUACAUCAUUUAAUUUACAAGUUUGAUACAUUUUCUUUUCUUGCCUUCUAGACCCCUAAGCUAGACUGUCUCAGGGUACGGCUACCUCGGUCUCUGUGGUGGGGCGCUAUCUACUGAGCUACGCCCUCGCCUCGCGCCGCCGCGCCGCACACGAACGACCUGAAAACCCGAAAACAACGUGGGGUGAGAACCAACUCCAUGGUUCCCAGUGGGUACGGCCACCCAAGGGAAAAACUCGACCGAUAGGUCCGAGGAGGCACUGCAACAUGUUAGUUCAACAAUAUACAACAGAUAUAUAUAUAUUCAAUUGAAAUACAUGCCAUGCCUCACAAUAUGCGAUAGGAAAAUCAUGCAACAACUAGUAGAUCAUUUGAAUUCUACUUUUACUUGGCUACUUUAGCUCAUAACUUUACUCUAAGGUUUCUAUUACCUUAGGAUCACAACACUAACCACUAGCUUCUAAGGUUUCUAUUNUCUCGAAGCAAUGAGCGGCCAAGUUCACCUUGUCCUUCUCCAAGGUGAAGAUGUCCUCAAAUAGAGUCUCCAUAGCCAUCAGCCAAGACUCCACCGUCGCUGGAUCCACCACCUCUCCGUCGAAAGUAGGUGGGUGAAACUUAGUGAACCUCUUGAGCGCCACAUAGCAGCGCUCACACUCCGCCUCCUCAACCGCCACCGCGGGGGUAGGAGAACUCCAACUCGUCGGAGGAAUAUCCACCGGUGGGGGUUGCGCCGCCACCGGAACUGAUACGCCACCCACACCCUCGGCCGCAUCGGGGGCUCGAACCGAAGGCGCAGGCGGACCGCGGCCUAGACCCGCUGCCGCCGCCGCAACCUGCCGCUCCAGUAGCUCCUGGAGCCUAUCGAACCGUCGCGUGAGCGCCAUAACCUGCGUUCGCAACUGCUACACCUCAGUAGGCCCAGCUGGCACUGGCGCCACUGGAGGCACAGCUGGCUCAGGCACCUCUCGAGGUGGUGUCAGAGCGGUCCUACGCACGUAGCAUCUCAUUGGUGCCAUAGCUCCUGAAACGCAAACAACCGGUUAAUUACUUAACCCAACAUGUCAUCGUAACUACGAAGCGUAAGCGAUUAAACAACAUUAAUCAGGCGGCAGCUUGUAAGUGUACUCGUUCUUGUCUCUCGACAUCAUGUUGUCGGCCGCCAACACAAUCACCUUAAGCCAAAAGCUAAUACCACUUAGAUCAUCUCUAGCCAUAACCAGAGUCUUAAUGCCAACUCCAAACCCAAUCGAUUAGCUUCCGCCGCGUCAUAGGUUCACGUCGCACUCACGCACCUAUAACCUUAGGGUUAACCAACCUAGAGUCUCCUAGGUCAUCCUAGACUCUCUCUUUUGCUUGCUCUUUACUCGCUCUGAUACCACAACUGUCACGCCCCCGACCGCACUCCCCGAAGACGG
rnacentral:lncRNA from 1 species